rnacentral:rRNA from 1 species
UACGUAGGGGGCAAGCGUUGUCCGGAAUCAUUGGGUCGUAAGCGCGCGUAGGCGGCCGAUAAGUCUGCUGUGAAAGUCCAGGGCUCAACCCUGGAAUGCCGGUGGAUACUGUCGGGACUAGAGUUCGGAAGAGGCAAGUGGAAUUCCGUGGUGUAGCGGUGGAAUGCGCAGAGUAUCAGGAGGAACACCUAUAGCGAAGGCAGCUUGCUGGGACGACACUGACGCUGAGGCGCGAAAGCGUGGGGAGCGAACAGGA